CUUAUUUGGCUAUAAUUCAUCUUUGCCAUUAGUUCUGUUAGUAAAAUGGACUGAGAAUGUUUGUGUAUUUUUUAUGCCUUGGCAUCUUGCAGCUACAGCCGCGCGCUGUGUGUGGCGAGGGAUUACUUCUCCUGUGCAGUAAUACCCUUUUUGGAGUGUCCCAUGUUUGCAACUAUCCUUAUCUGCAGAGAAAAACAAAGGGACAAACAAAGUCCGGAUGCAAGGUGCAAGGCAGGAAAGGCAGUAGUAGGCCGAGAGAAGUGUAGAAGAGGGUUCCUCCAGGCUCCAUCCAUGUACGGUGUCGGUCCGAUGCCUCGGGCAUGUGGCAAUGUCGGGGACCAGCGAGGAAGAUGCUGGUGUACACCCUUUGGAAUAAAGUUGAAGUAAGCUCUAAGCACCACGGAGCCUACCACGCACGCCAUCUUGAGCCUACCACGCACGCCAUCUUGUUUAUAGUGCAGAUAAUCUAUAAACUACUGUUUAGGAAAGGAUUUAUAGUGUCUCUGAUAUAACGGUUCAGAAUAAAUAUCCAAUGAAGAUGAUGCGUGACGAACAGCAUGAAAGUGGUCGUCAAGUAAUUAUUCUGCUGUUGGAAAUCGCCCACGAUCGAUCACAAUUCACAUCAAGUCGACGAACAUGACACACAAAAACUUUUGGCCAAAGGCAUGUGCCAUGUCUUGUUCUUCUCUUUAUUUCUUUUCUAUUUUCUCCACACGAUUACAAAACUCAUGCAGCUUCAUGUGUGUGUGUGUGUGUGUCUAUACACACACACGCGCGCGCGAAGCCAUGAGCCCAUGACCCAAUAACUGAACCGAGUAGUGGAAUAUUGUUGGUGCAAAUAAAUGUUCUUUGAGUUUAGAUGAUGCAUGGAUAAAUAACUCUAUGUGAUGAUUUAUUUGCCGGCACUGAUUACAUUCCCCAUGCAUUGUUGACGUUCCCACCCUUUGCCCUGCUAAUUCACGAAUUAGGUUUCAGACCCGAUAGCUUGUUAUGCUGUGUUGCAAUUAAACAGAAGUAUGGAUCUAGGAAAUUCAUGACUAGCUAUUGGUCUUCCUAUCAGCAGUAGAGAGAUGCCUGGUCAGCAGAUAUAUGUGUCUGAAACCUUUGCAUGGUGUACAUGCUAUACUAUGUAAUAAAUAAAAGGUAGUUUAAUUUUUUAUUAUGCCGCUAAGAUACCCAAUCAGACUGAUUAUACAUACACCCAAAACAAUAUAUUAUAGUCUGAACUAUGAAACUAUACUCAAGAGGAAAGGUUAUACAUCAAUCCUUUCUGCAGAUUUCUUAUCAGCUCAUUCUGUCCUGUAUGAUUAUUUUAUGCCACGCAAAUUGCUAGAUAUAUUCAUACUCUCCGUUUAACCAUAACAUCAAGAACACCCAAAAAUUAGCAAUCCUAACAGGUCUGCUGCUUGCGGGCAGAAAGUAACUAUCAAGGAAGAAGAGUUAGAUGCUAGUGACAUACCUGUCGAAGAUAUUGGCGGUAAGCAUGUGUCGUACAGGUUAUUUAUGCUUUCCCUUAAGCCAUUCUUAGCCAACCCCGUGCAGUCCAUGCGCUAUGCAUAAGAACCACAAAUCGCUCAAGCAGCGUCGAAGCCUGCCUGUGACUGUUCCAAAUGCAUGCCUAUCAAUCCAGCCAGCUCUGAGGCAAAAACUUGAACACAGAGCUUCACACAGCAAUGUUUGCCUCAGCAACAACGCCACAGAACCGGACCAUCGAUGGAAAAGGGUCCAUUUAGCUGAUGGGGAAUACAUUGUCCAUGGGAAAAACCUGGCUUCCUUUAUGUAACUUGUGUCGCUUUGGAAACAUAAUAAACACUAUGAAUUUCGUGGUGAGAACUACAUAGAUGAAUGAUGAGCUGAGUGACCAUUGUAUAUGGGGAAACAGUGUGACCCUAUACACACGCCAUGUAUAAGAUCAAUGUAAAUGAGCUGCAUGACCUGCCUUCGUACCUUUCUUUGUACAUCGUUAGUCCUUUUGGGCUAUCAUGCUACCAUGACUCAAGUGUAAACCAUUAUGUAUAAAGAUACUAUCUAAGUAUCCAUUUACAUGGUGUUUAAGUCCACUACAGAUCCAACGUAGGUUUGAUAUUAUCUUGCCUGGCCUCAUGCAAAUCUUUCUUGCAUAACAGGAUAUACCUAUUCAGUGAUUUCGCUCCUCUUUAUUGAACUUUUAUUGUUUCUUGCUCAACUAUAUAGGUUAUGAUAAAUAUCGUCGCGUGGCUUAUGGAAGGAGCUGCUGACAGGACUAUCUUAACAACAAACUUGACGGAGUUCUUCACAUAGCAAACAUAGAUGAAGGAACGAUGUAUGCCUUCACCUUUAGGCGCAACGCAAAGCGCCUCCGCCUCUAACCAUUCACUCCA